GGGCUCGUAGCUCAGCUGGUUAGAGCGCACCCCUGAUAAGGGUGAGGUCGCUGGUUCGACUCCAGCCGGGCCCA
rnacentral:tRNA from 1 species